rnacentral:rRNA from 1 species
UAGGGAAUCUUGCGCAAUGGGCGAAAGCCUGACGCAGCAACGCCGCGUGGGGGAUGAAGGCUCUCGGGUUGUAAACCCCUUUCAGUAGGGACGAACACAGACGGUACCUACAGAAGAAGCCCCGGCCAACUACGUGCCAGCAGCCGCGGUAACACGUAGGGGGCAAGCGUUGUCCGGAUUUACUGGGCGUAAAGAGCUCGUAGGCGGUUCGGCAAGUCGGGUGUGACAACUCCAGGCUCAACCUGGAGAGGUCACUCGAUACUGCUGUGACUAGAGUCCGGCAGGGGAGCGUGGAAUUCCCGGCGUAGCGGUGAAAUGCGCAGAUAUCGGGAGGAACACCAGUGGCGAAGGCGGCGCUCUGGGCCGGAACUGACGCUGAGGAGCGAAAGCGUGGGUAGCAAACAGGAUUAGAUACCC